rnacentral:ncRNA from 1 species
ACAGUACAAACUGAGCAGGCGAUAAACCCUUGAUGAUCGGGGUUUGUGGGGCCGGGCCGCUCGCGCGGCAGCAGAUGACGGAUUCGACAUCUGUGGGACAGU